UGCCACAGCCAUAUCACCCUGCACCCAAGACCAGUUACUCUCUGAAGCUAAGCAGGGCUGAGCCUGGUCAGUACCUGGAUGGGAGACCACAUGGGAAAACGAGGUUACUGUUGGAA
rnacentral:rRNA from 1 species